UCGACUAGUUCCUGUCCUCCAUGUAGACUACGCCAUCCUGCACCAUAGUCUCCAUGUCAGAUAUGUCUCAGUGUCCAGUCUUGUAUUUAGGAUUGUCCAAACCUUCUGGUGGGCCCAUAGAUGUAUGCACGACAAGCCCCCGAGUACUUUUUAGUCAAAUACAGAAGUUGCGAGUAUUUUUGUAGACUUCACUGACUACUUUUGAUGCUCUUCGAGUGCUU
rnacentral:lncRNA from 1 species